AUUUUAAGGAAACUUUUGUGCACGAUCUUAAUUCCUAAUCCCUGGCUCUUUGGUCUCAUAGGAUGAAAGCAGUGCUGCAUCAACUGGCUCCAUGCAGGAGGGGCACGUGAAGGAUCUCAUCAACCAGUCAUCUAUACAGUCCAGGUGAUAGAUGUGCAUGCACGGCAGAAAUCGAAUUGGGUCCCCAUAAACAAAGUCCAUCAUACAGAUCACACACCUGUUGAGAGCAAUGGAGAGAAAUCAGAAGGCAUUUUCAGAAGUGUCCUAUUCAGAAAACUCUUUAAAUCCCAUUAAAGACAGUGUUAAUCUGAGUAACACAUCAGAAUGCUUUGCCUGUCAUCUUAUUGCCAAAGCAUGCAAACUGAAUUUUUUCCUAAUGUUGAUCUGUCCACAGUCUCUUAUUUCAAUCCCCUGAGAAUUUGCAGGACUUAGGAGCAAUCAACAGAGCAAAGAGAAAUGGAUUACAUAUGCAUCAAAUCUACUGCUGUGCUUGUAAACAGCUACAUAUUAUAGCAGAUACCUGAAGGAGAAUGGGAUUAUUUUAGGUAGAAAAGCAUCAGUUAGAUCAACUUUGUUUUCUUGCACUAUUUAGUGUAAUCCUGGACUAAGACAAUUUUCAUUUUAGUAACUGUAAAACAGAAACACUAACUUCGGGCAACUUUGUUUCCUUGUGCUAUUUAGAGUAAUCCUAGAGUAAGAUAAUUUUCAUUUUAAUAACUGUAAAAACAGAAACACUAACUUCAGCCUACUUACUGGGUUGCUGUAAGUUAAAGCUCUCUUCAUUAACACUAACUUUCUCUUAUUUUACUUUAUUUUACUUUUUGAGACAGAGUUUCAAGUGAUUCUCCCACCUCAGCCUCCCAAGUGGUUGGGAUUACAGGCGCGUGCCACCAUGCCUGGCUAAUUUUCGUAUUUUCAGUAGAGAUGAGGUUUCACCAUGUUGGCCAGGUUGGUCUCGAACUCCUGGCCUCAAGUGAUCCCCCGACCUCAGCCUCCCAAAGUGCUGGGAUUACAGGCAUAAGCCACUGUGCUCGGCCUGUGAAAAUUCUUAAUUACUACAUAACAUUCUCUUGCUAGUAGCCAGUAAUAGAGCUAUGAAAAAAAAUUAAACAUUCUCUUGCAUUAAGCGAAGUGUUUCAAUAUAUUAAAUGUCUGACUUUCUAAAGUGCAGGAGAAAAGGCAAAUUUUUCAAAAGCAAUCUGAAAAUAAAACUUUGAAAUGUACAAAUUAAUUAAAACUUACUCCCGGAUCUUUUUUUCUGAUCCAUCUCUUCCAGGGUCAUAAACUCCUUUAGGCAGAUGUUGUAUAAGACCUAUUCUUUGAGCUAUCCUAAUUUGUUCCUCUUCAGUCAGCUGAGUUGCUAGCCGAGUCUGGCUAGGUGUUGGGUGGUAGACUGGAACUGGAACUUGUUCCUAAAAUAUUAAAAUAUAGAGGAAAAAGAUUAUUUUUUAAAAACCUUUCGAGGGCUUAUUUUUUGGUCAGAGAUAGAAGGGAAAGGGAGCCCUGGGAGGGGUAGGAAGCUGGGCUAGUGUUUGGCUGUAUGACUGUGUUUCACCCUGCCUUAACUUCAGCUACUAGAAUAAAACAUACACACACCAAAACAUUCUCAUUCUGCCUAAAGGAUAUAAACACAGACUUCACUGAACUGGCAUGGAAUGUUAAAUGAACUAUUUCCACAUGAUAAGAGACCAGCCUGGACAACAUAGCAAGACCUCAUCUCUAAAAAUAAUUUUUAAAACUUUUUAAAUGGACUGGACUAUGGCAAAAAUAAAUCUAAAAGUUAUCUAAGACUAACUUUCCCAUUUCAUAGGACCAAGCUUGCCUACAGUCACUAAUUGACAAUACUGAAAUUAGAAUUCUGCUGCUCCUAAUCCAACUGAUUUUUUACACAACAAAACAAUUCAAAGGAAUCGUGUGUAUAACCCCCACCUUUUUUUGAGAUAGGGUCUCCCUCUGUUGCCCAGGCUUAAGUGCAGUGGCACAAACACAACUUACUGUAAACUCAACCCCCUGGGCUCAAGCAAUCCUCCAACCUCAGCCUCCUGAGUAGUGGGGCCACAGGGUUGAGCCAUGGUGCCUGGCCUAUAAUAAUAUUUAAAACUGAGCAACUCUGAUGGAAUGAAGCUGGGAUGGAGUGUGGCCUAGAAGGGAUGAGGCUCCCCAUCCCCAAGCCCUCACCUUGGUUACCUUUGCAGAAUCCUCAGAAUCAACAGAGCAGUCUGAAAAACACUACUAUCUCAGAAGAUGAGAUUUUCAGUCUGAAGAAUUAAAUUAUAAGAUUUCAGUCUCAGCUCGGCUACUUACUGUGAUUGCUUGGACCAAGUCUCUUAAUGUCUUUGAAUAAAGCAGAUAACAGUACCCACUUUAAAGAGUUGAUAUAAUCAUGAGAUAACUAAGAGCUUUGUAAAUGCCAAUAUUUGUAAAUUAUUCUAACAUCUCCCCAACGUCAUGAUUCUCCCCAUCAUGAUUCUCUGCUUUGCAGACUUUAAGCUAAGUGCUACUGUCCUUGGCUUUGGUCCUGGCUUUCUGGCUUCUCUUUGAAUACUACAAACUCUUGGACUCUGUUGUGAUCUCUGCCAGCUCUGAGUUCUUCAACCCUUGAAUUACCAUUUCCAGUCUAAAUUACCUUCCUGAAUCUUAGCCUCAGUCCUAGUUGACCAGUUUUGAUGAGCUGUCAUCCACACGCAAACUGGGAACAAAUUGGUUUAAGACUAAGAUAAUAUAAAGGGUCUCUUAAAUCCUUGAACCUAACAAACAAAAAUAACUAAAUUGUUUUAGAGAAAAUAAACUCCAACUAUGGGUUUUUCAGAGGCUAGAUUUCUUCAGUCUUGUGGUUCACAUACGUGUAGAGAACACAGAAAGCAGAACAGAAAAGGAAAGUUCUACUUUACGGGGAAACAUUAAUAAACAUUAAAGAAGAAAAUAAAAACUAUAUUUUAAUUCACGUUAUGAGUGUAUUUUCUCCUUUGGUAUUUUUUUGUUAAAACAAAGGAACCCUCUCUAUAUCUUUUAGAUAUUUAAAAUGAUUGAACAAUCUAAUUUCAGUUUACAUGGUUCAGAAAACCAUAGAGGAAAGGAAAUGACUAAGACCUCCUGAUAUUUUAAAGAUGAAUGUGGCCUCACCCUUCUUACCACACAUGCCUAAUUUUAAAUUUUAAUUCCCAUGAUACUUGUUUUAAAAUGGCUUGAUAUCUGAGUUAUCAAUUGUUUCAUAACUAGACAGCCACUGAUUUUCUAGGCAGCAAAAUGGAAUCCUGAUUCAAUUGUUGGCUAACAGACACUGAGUGAGUAGAAGAUUAGACAGGGGUAUAAAAACAACAAUUUUAAAAGAUGUGAUGGCUGGGCAUGGUAGCUCAUGCGUGUAAUCCCAGAACUUUGAAAGGCCGAGGCAGGCGUAUCACCUGAGGUCAGGAGUUCGAGACCAGCCUGGCCAACAUGGUAAAACACCAUCUCUACUAAAAAUACUAAAAUUAGCUGGGCGUGGUGGUGCACGCCUGUAAUCCCAGCUACUCAGUAAGCUGAGGCAAGAGAACUGCUUUAACCCGGGAGGCAGAGGUUGCAGUGAGCCAAGAUCUUGCCACUGUACUCUAGCCUGGGCAACAGAGAGAGACUCCAUCUUAACAACAAAAAAAGAUAUGGAUUUGGGGGUGGUUCCCACCAUUCCCUAUCUGCGAACACUAUAUGGUUUAUGUUCAACACCUGCUUCCCCUCUGAGAAUCAGGAAUUUUGUCAUAUGCUAGGCAGUGGGUGCCUAAUCAGUACCUGGGGCACUGAGUCUCCAAAUGAGCUUCUCUGGCAGAAAACCUUUCAUAUAUGUUGAAGGAAUUAAGCAUGUCCUGUGUGACUCCACUAGGAGAUAACUCUUGGAAGCUUGUGCUUAGUUCCCUUUAGACCAAAGCACCUUUCCCCUUAGCUGAUUUUGCUUUGAUUCUUUGCUGUAACAAAUCAUAGAUGUGAGUAAGAUUAUAUACUAAGUCCUAAGAGCCCUCCUAUUGAAUCACCAAACCUGGGGACUGUUUUGAGGACCUCCAACGCCAGUGCUAGGUUGUGCUCCCACUUUAUAUUUGCAAAGCUACUGUGUUUCGUCCCCAGCUGAAAACAAAUGAAAAAUAAAUAAAUAUUUUGAUUAGCCUAUUUCAGGGCCUAAAUAUGGACCUAAUGACAAAAGGUAUACAAACACAUCUCACUGCAACCUCCAACUUCUAGGCUCAAGUAAUCCUCCCACUGCAGCCUCCCCAGUAGCUGGGAUUACAGGUACACAACACCAUGCCCAGCAAUUUUUUUGUUUUGGUAGAAACAGUGUCUCGCUGACCAGGCUGACCAAACUCCUGGCCUCAAGCGAUCCUCUAGCCUUGGCCUCCCAAAGUGCUGAGAUUAC
rnacentral:lncRNA from 10 species